rnacentral:rRNA from 1 species
UACGUAGGGGGCAAGCGUUGUCCGGAAUUAUUGGGCGUAAAGAGCGCGUAGGCGGUCCGGUAAGUCGGCUGUGAAAGUCAAGGGCUCAACCCUUGAAAGCCGGCCGAUACUGUCGGACUAGAGUCCGGAAGAGGCGAGUGGAAUUCCCGGUGUAGCGGUGAAAUGCGCAGAUAUCGGGAGGAACACCAGCGGCGAAGGCGGCGACCUGGACAGGUACUGACACUCAACUACGAAAGCGUGGGGAGCAAACAGG